rnacentral:rRNA from 1 species
CACGUAGGGUGCGAGCGUUGUCCGGCAUUAUUGGGCGUAAAGAGCUCGUAGGCGGUGUGUCGCGUCGGCCGUGAAAACCUGCAGCUUAACUGUGGGCUUGCGGUCGAUACGGGCAUCACUGGAGUUCGGCAGGGGAGACUGGAAUUCCUGGUGUAGCGGUGAAAUGCGCAGAUAUCAGGAGGAACACCGGUGGCGAAGGCGGGUCUCUGGGCCGAUACUGACGCUGAGGAGCGAAAGCGUGGGGAGCGAACAGG